GCGACCCCAAGUCAGGCGGGACUACCCGCUGAGUUUAAGCAUAUCAAUAAGCGGAGGAAAAGAAACUUAUCAGGAUUCCCUUAGUAACG
rnacentral:rRNA from 1 species